rnacentral:rRNA from 1 species
UCUUCCUUUAAGAAUAGGAAGUAGGACCUGCCCAAUGCAUAGUAAAUGGCCGCAGUAUUUUGACUGUGCGAAGGUAGCAUAAUAAUUUGGCUCUUAAUUGGAGUCUGGAAUGAAUGGUCUGACAAAGGUCCGACUGUCUCUAUAUAAAUACUUGAAGUUAAAUUGUUUGUAAAAAUGCAAAUAUGAAUGAGAGGGACGAGAAGACCCUAUAGAUCUUUAAUUUUAUUAUUAAUAUUUUUAGUAGUAAAAUUUUAUUUGGGAUGAAACUAGAAAUGUUUAAACUUUGGUUAAUUAAAAGAUUGAGAAGUCAAACGGAGGAUCCACGAAGUGAUAAGACGAAAAAGUUACCUUAGGGAUAACAGGACAAUAAUUUUCUUUUAGAUCGUAUUUUAGAAGAUGAUUGUCACCUCGAUGUUGAAUUAAGUUUUCUUCCAGAAGGAGAGGGGUGGAAAGUUGGUCUGUUCGACCAUUAAAAAC